CCUACGGGAGGCAGCAGUGGGGAAUAUUGGACAAUGGGGGAAACCCUGAUCCAGCAACGCCGCGUGGAGGAUGAAGGUCUUCGGAUUGUAAACUCCUGUUAGGGGGGACGAAGGGAUGCCGGCGAACAGUCGGCAAACUUGACGGUACCCCCAGAGGAAGCCCCGGCUAACUCUGUGCCAGCAGCCGCGGUAAUACAGAGGGGGCAAGCGUUAUUCGGAAUUAUUGGGCGUAAAGGGCGCGUAGGCGGCCUUGUAAGUCUUGGGUGAAAUCCCUCAGCUCAACUGAGGAACUGCCUCGGAUACUGCAGGGCUUGAGGCCGGGAGAGGGAAGUGGAAUUCCCAGUGUAGCGGUGAAAUGCGUAGAUAUUGGGAGGAACACCGGUGGCGAAGGCGGCUACCUGGACCGGUUCUGACGCUGAUGCGCGAAAGCGUGGGGAGCAAACAGGAUUAGAUACCCUGGUAGUCCACGCUGUAAACGAUGGGUGCUCGGUGUCGCGGGUAUCGACCCCUGCGGUGCCUUAGUUAACACGUUAAACACCCCGCCUGGGGAGUACGGUCGCAAGAUUAAAACUCAAAGGAAUUGACGG
rnacentral:rRNA from 1 species